rnacentral:lncRNA from 1 species
GACAGACUGUUUCUUGAAGUUACACCAUUGCUCUUUCUGUAUCUCUCUCUCUAUCUCUAACAAUCAGAUGCAGUACCAUUAAUGCCCUGAGAGGUCGUUGAAGACUUUGAAGGUAAAAACAGUCAUCACUUUUUAUUUCUCUUUCUCUCCUUAGCGAACUACUCUAGCAAAAACCUCAAGAAAUGACCUUUGGUGUCUCUCUCUCUCUCUCUCUCUCAUGCGCACACACACACACCUAAUUUUGCAGGCGAGGGAAGAGGGCCUUAAAUUCUAGCAUUGAAUGAAGAGAAUUUAAUGGGAUUGGUUGAGGAACUAAUUAAGAAAGCAGCAAAAAAGAG